ACUCCUACGGGAGGCAGCAGUGGGGAAUAUUGCACAAUGGGAAGGCCAUCGAUGCAGCCAUGCCGCGCUGUGUGAAGAAGGCCAAUUCGGGCUUGGUUAAAGACACUUUCAGUAGGGAGGAAGGUAGUGUAGUUAACACCUGCAUUAUUUGACGUUACCUACAGAAGAAGCACCGGCUAACUCCGUGCCAGCAGCCGCGGUAAUACGGAGGGUGCGAGCGUUAAUCGGAAUUACUGGGCGUAAAGCGCAUGCAGGCGGCCUGUUAAGUCAGAUGUGAAAGCC
rnacentral:rRNA from 1 species